UACGUAGGGGGCAAGCGUUAUCCGGAUUCACUGGGUGUAAAGGGAGCGUAGACGGCGACGCAAGUCUGGAGUGAAAGCCCGGGGCCCAACCCCGGGACUGCUCUGGAAGCUGCGGCGCUGGAGUACGGGAGGGGCAGGCGGAAUUCCUGGUGUAGCGGUGAAAUGCGUAGAUAUUAGGAGGAACACCAGUGGCGAAGGCGGCUUACUGGACGGCAACUGACGCUGAGGCUCGAAAGCGUGGGGAGCAAACAGG
rnacentral:rRNA from 1 species